CGGACGGGUGAGUAACGCGUGGAAAAACCUGCCGUAUACUGGGGGAUAACACUUAGAAAUAGGUGCUAAUACCGCAUAAGCGCACAGCUUCGCAUGAAGUGGUGUGAAAAACUCUGGUGGUAUACGAUGGUUCCGCGUCUGAUUAGCUUGUUGGUGGGGUAAUGGCUCACCAAGGCGACGAUCAGUAGCCGGCCUGAGAGGGUGAACGGCCACAUUGGGACUGAGACACGGCCCAAACUCCUACGGGAGGCAGCAG
rnacentral:rRNA from 1 species